rnacentral:lncRNA from 1 species
CGCCCGGGGCGCGCACGCCGUGGGGGCGGAGGGGAGAGAAGCGCGGCGCGGGGGGUGGGGCUGCGCCAGGGGCGGGGCCUGUGCCCCGAUGAUUGGCGUGGAGUGCAGAGCUCUUCCCAGGGUAAAGACCGGCGGGCAGCUCGCCUCUGAGAGUGCCGAAGGUGACAGCGGUGUCACAGAAGUAAAGGGUGACAGUGGAAUUCUGCCCCCACAGCUGUGUCUGCAUCCUGUCCGUUUCCGUGUAGCUGAGUGGCCCACCCAGCUGGAGCUCCGUGUGCCUGCCAUCGUCCCGAGCGCUUUGCUGGAGGAGCCAUUUCUAGGAGGAGAAGUCACGUCGAGUGUGGGCCCUGGCCUGGAUUAUGCCCCUCCGGUCACAGGGAGGACGGCAACUGUCUAUAAAGGGUCACCUACCGCUCAGGCCGUGAGUGGAAACACGGAGGGGAGGCCCCACUCAUUCUGGUGA